UACAGAGGUGGCAAGCGUUGUUCGGAAUUACUGGGCGUAAAGGGCGCGUAGGCGGCUUAUCAAGUCAGGCGUGAAAUUCCCGGGCUCAACCUGGGGGCUGCGCUUGAUACUGAUUGGCUUGAAUGCGGGAGAGGAUAGUGGAAUUCCCAGUGUAGAGGUGAAAUUCGUAGAUAUCUGGAGGAAUACCGGUGGCGAAGGCGGCUAUCUGGCCAUGUACUGACACUGAAGCACGAAAGCGUGGGUAGCAAACAGG
rnacentral:rRNA from 1 species